GGAUGCUUUGACUUCAAUCCUCUAUAACUUCUUCAUCUAAACUCCAAAUUCAUCAAACAAUAGUUAAAAAAGUUUUCUCUCCAAUUCCAGUUGCCGAUCUUUUAUUGCUCUCCAUAAACGUAUAUUAUGUCUUGAAGAGUGACAAUACGUAUGAAAUUGAUACCUUAACUUUGAGCACCAAUAACUCCUUCAUAAAAACUCCAAAUCACACAAAAUUUGUAUCCAAUCCAUAUCCAAAAACCUAAACUCACUGAUCUUAGUCUCCCAAGUUCAAAUGACUUUGAAAGAAAAAUCCUAAUUCCUAAUAAGGCCU
rnacentral:lncRNA from 1 species